GCUCAGAUUGAACGCUGGCGGCAGGCCUAACACAUGCAAGUCGAGCGGUAGCACAGAGAGCUUGCUCUCGGGUGACGAGCGGCGGACGGGUGAGUAAUGUCUGGGAAACUGCCUGAUGGAGGGGGAUAACUACUGGAAACGGUAGCUAAUACCGCAUAAUGUCGCAAGACCAAAGUGGGGGACCUUCGGGCCUCAUGCCAUCAGAUGUGCCCAGAUGGGAUUAGCUAGUAGGUGGGGUAACGGCUCACCUAGGCGACGAUCCCUAGCUGGUCUGAGAGGAUGACCAGCCACACUGGAACUGAGACACGGUCCAGACUCCUACGGGAGGCAGCAGUGGGGAAUAUUGCACAAUGGGCGCAAGCCUGAUGCAGCCAUGCCGCGUGUGUGAAGAAGGCCUUCGGGUUGUAAAGCACUUUCAGCGGGGAGGAAGGCGGUGAGGUUAAUAACCUCACCGAUUGACGUUACCCGCAGAAGAAGCACCGGCUAACUCCGUGCCAGCAGCCGCGGUAAUACGGAGGGUGCAAGCGUUAAUCGGAAUUACUGGGCGUAAAGCGCACGCAGGCGGUCUGUCAAGUCGGAUGUGAAAUCCCCGGGCUCAACCUGGGAACUGCAUUCGAAACUGGCAGGCUAGAGUCUUGUAGAGGGGGGUAGAAUUCCAGGUGUAGCGGUGAAAUGCGUAGAGAUCUGGAGGAAUACCGGUGGCGAAGGCGGCCCCCCUGGACAAAGACUGACGCUCAGGUGCGAAAGCGUGGGGAGCAAACAGGAUUAGAUACCCUGGUAGUCCACGCCGUAAACGAUGUCGAUUUGGAGGUUGUGCCCUUGAGGCGUGGCUUCCGGAGCUAACGCGUUAAAUCGACCGCCUGGGGAGUACGGCCGCAAGGUUAAAACUCAAAUGAAUUGACGGGGGCCCGCACAAGCGGUGGAGCAUGUGGUUUAAUUCGAUGCAACGCGAAGAACCUUACCUGGUCUUGACAUCCACAGAACUUUCCAGAGAUGGAUUGGUGCCUUCGGGAACUGUGAGACAGGUGCUGCAUGGCUGUCGUCAGCUCGUGUUGUGAAAUGUUGGGUUAAGUCCCGCAACGAGCGCAACCCUUAUCCUUUGUUGCCAGCGGUCCGGCCGGGAACUCAAAGGAGACUGCCAGUGAUAAACUGGAGGAAGGUGGGGAUGACGUCAAGUCAUCAUGGCCCUUACGACCAGGGCUACACACGUGCUACAAUGGCGUAUACAAAGAGAAGCGACCUCGCGAGAGCAAGCGGACCUCAUAAAGUAUGUCGUAGUCCGGAUUGGAGUCUGCAACUCGACUCCAUGAAGUCGGAAUCGCUAGUAAUCGUAGAUCAGAAUGCUACGGUGAAUACGUUCCCGGGCCUUGUACACACCGCCCGUCACACCAUGGGAGUGGGUUGCAAAAGAAGUAGGUAGCUUAACCUUCGGGAGGGCGCUUACCACUUUGUGAUUCAU
rnacentral:rRNA from 1 species